AACUCCUGGCAACGGGCAUAAGAGAUACCUUGGUGGUGGUGGUGUUCUUAUAUCAGUCAGGAGCCGAGCAGAUGGCAGUCUUGUUCACCCUAGCUUAAUGCCUGGCUUGGUGGCCAAAGCUGUCUUAUGCCUAGGACUCCGAA